CGAGUCGGCCGGGCGGUCGCGUCGGGCGAGGAGGCGACUCCUCGACCCGCCGAGGAAAGUCCGGACUCCACAGGGCAGGGUGGUGGAUAACGUCCACCCGGGGUGACCCGCGGGAAAGUGCCACAGAGAGCAGACCGCCAGCGGCUCCCGGCGCGAGACGCGUCGGGGGUGCGGGCAAGGGUGAAAGGGUGGUGUAAGAGACCACCAGCGUCUGGGGUGACCCAGGCGGCUCGGUAAACCCCACCCGGAGCAAGGCCAAGAGGGCCCGGGGCGUCGCGUCCCGGGUCUGCGCAGGCGCUUGAGGGUGGCCCGCCCGAGCCUGCGGGUAGGCCGCUAGAGGUCGUCGGUAACGGCGACCCGAGAUGGAUGACCGCCCUCGACAGAAUCCGGCUUACAGGCCGGCUCGUCCU
rnacentral:RNase_P_RNA from 1 species